UACGAAGGGGGCUAGCGUUGCUCGGAAUCACUGGGCGUAAAGCGCACGUAGGCGGCUUUCUAAGUCAGGGGUGAAAUCCUGGAGCUCAACUCCAGAACUGCCUUUGAUACUGGAAAGCUUGAGUUCGGGAGAGGUGAGUGGAACUGCGAGUGUAGAGGUGAAAUUCGUAGAUAUUCGGAAGAACACCAGUGGCGAAGGCGGCUCACUGGACCGGUAUUGACGCUGAGGUGCGAAAGCGUGGGGAGCAAACAGG
rnacentral:rRNA from 1 species